rnacentral:rRNA from 1 species
CCUAACCCAGCCGUGGACGCCACACGAGUGAGAAUGCAGGCAUGAGUAGCGAAAGACAUGUGAGAAACAUGUCCUCCGAAAGACCAAGGGUUCCAGGGUCAAGCUAAUCUUCCCUGGGUAAGUCGGGACCUAAGGCGAGGCCGACAGGCGUAGUCGAUGGACAACGGGUUGAUAUUCCCGUACUGACGAAAAACCGCCCAAACUAAUCCAGUAGUGCUAAGAGUCCUAAUCCGGCAGAUGGAUCCCUUCGGGGUGAAGCAGCCGGCCUAACGCUCGACCCCAUUCUGGUGCGGUUAGCGUAUUAACAGGUGUGACGCAGGAAGGUAGCUGAGCCGGGCGAUGGUUGUCCCGGUGUAAGGACGUAGGGCGAGAGAUAGGCAAAUCCGUCUCUCACAUAGCCUGAGAUCCGAUGCGUACCCCUCACGGGGGAAAUCAGUGAUCCUAUGCUGCCGAGAAAAGCAUCGACGCGAGGUUUUAGUCACCCGUACCCCAAACCGACUCAGGUGGUCAGGUAGAGAAUACCAAGGAGAUCGAGAGAAUCGUGGUUAAGGAACUCGGCAAAAUGCCCCCGUAACUUCGGGAGAAGGGGGGCCUGAGGCGUGUAGGGAUUUACUCCUGAAGCGUUUGAAGGCCGCAGAGACCAGUGGGAAGCGACUGUUUACUAAAAACACAGGUCCGUGCUAAGUCGCAAGACGAUGUAUACGGACUGACGCCUGCCCGGUGCUGGAAGGUUAAGAGGAAGGGUUAGCUUCGGCAAAGCUCUGAAUUUAAGCCCCAGUAAACGGCGGUGGUAACUAUAACCAUCCUAAGGUAGCGAAAUUCCUUGUCGGGUAAGUUCCGACCUGCACGAAUGGCGUAACGACUUCCCAGCUGUCUCAACCGCGAACUCGGCGAAAUUGCACUACGAGUAAAGAUGCUCGUUACGCGCAGCAGGACGGAAAGACCCCGUGACCUUUACUACAGCUUGGUAUUGGUGUUCGGUGUGGCUUGUGUAGGAUAGGUGGGAGACUUUGAAGCGGGCACGCCAGUGUUCGUGGAGUCAUUGUUGAAAUACCACUCUGGUCACUCUGGAUGUCUAACUUCGAACCGUAAUCCGGUUCAGGAACAGUGCCUGGUGGGUAGUUUAACUGGGGCGGUUGCCUCCCAAAAAGUAACGGAGGCGCCCAAAGGUUCCCUCAACCUGGUUGGCAAUCAGGUGUCGAGUGUAAGUGCACAAGGGAGCUUGACUGUGAGACCGACGGGUCGAGCAGGGACGAAAGUCGGGACUAGUGAUCCGGCAGUGGCUUGUGGAAGCGCUGUCGCUCAACGGAUAAAAGGUACCUCGGGGAUAACAGGCUGAUCUUGCCCAAGAGUCCAUAUCGACGGCAUGGUUUGGCACCUCGAUGUCGGCUCGUCGCAUCCUGGGGCUGGAGUAGGUCCCAAGGGUUGGGCUGUUCGCCCAUUAAAGCGGUACGCGAGCUGGGUUUAGAACGUCGUGAGACAGUUCGGUCCCUAUCCGCUGCGCGCGUAGGAAAUUUGAGAAGAUCUGUCCCUACGAGAGGACCGGGACGGACGAACCUCUGGUGUGUCAGUUGUUCCGCCAGGAGCACCGCUGAUUAGCUACGUUCGGAACGGAUAACCGCUGAAAGCAUCUAAGCGGGAAGCCGGCUUCAAGAUGAGAUUUCCAUCCCUUCGGGGGAGAGGCUCCCAGCUAGAUUACUGGGUUGAUAGGCAGGAUGUGGAAGUGGGGACUAAAGACCCAUGGAGCUGACCUGUACUAAUAAGCCGAUGACUC